UGGAGGUUACGGGAAGGAAGGACGGGUGUGCGCAUGCGUGGGCCCUCAGUCUCUGACUUCAGUUACCUGGGAGGCUGCGAGGCGCCCUCGGUCCUGGCUGUUUCUGAACUUCCCCUCAGCGCCGAUCCUCGGCUGCUGAAGCAGAUAAGCCCAGAGAAAAGUGACAUACUAUGUUACUCUGCUAUAAUAGGAAACCUGAGAUUCAAAGCAGCUGUGACUCCAAGGAGUUUGCCUUCUUGCAGGUCCUAAUGGAGUUGUACUUCAGAGCCCUCUGGUCAUCUUCUGGUCAUCUUCUCCUAACAUUUCUUCCCCUCUGGGAGUAUGAGCCAAAAUUUUUUGGGGUGCAGAAGUCUGGAAUGUUGACACACUGCCAGGAAGUGAAGAAACGAAAUCUGAGCAUGAGCAUGAAAACCCCACUCUCUGAGGACAGAACAGAAAUCCAUAUGGAUUCUUAAUUUCCUAAAGCUUAAUUGAAUUGUCAGACAGCCAAGAAUUACCCACUUCUGGUCUCCAGGUCCCCUCAUUGUGUUGGUGUUUCUGUUACCUGCCAUCCUUCUAGGAAUA